rnacentral:rRNA from 1 species
UACGGAGGGUGCAAGCGUUAUCCGGAUUCACUGGGUUUAAAGGGUGCGUAGGUGGGCAGGUAAGUCAGUGGUGAAAUCUCCGGGCUUAACCCGGAAACUGCCAUUGAUACUAUCAGUCUUGAAUACCGUGGAGGUAAGCGGAAUAUGUCAUGUAGCGGUGAAAUGCUUAGAUAUGACAUAGAACACCAAUUGCGAAGGCAGCUUACUACCCGAACAUUGACACUGAGGCACGAAAGCGUGGGGAUCAAACAGG